rnacentral:rRNA from 1 species
UGUGACAUACCUAAACGUUGCUUCGGCGGGAACAGACGGCCCCGUGAAACGGGCCGCCCCCGCCAGAGGACCCCUAACUCUGUUUCUAUAAUGUUUCUUCUGAGUAAAACAAGCAAAUAAAUUAAAACUUUCAACAACGGAUCUCUUGGCUCUGGCAUCGAUGAAGAACGCAGCGAAAUGCGAUAAGUAAUGUGAAUUGCAGAAUUCAGUGAAUCAUCGAAUCUUUGAACGCACAUUGCGCCCGCCAGUAUUCUGGCGGGCAUGCCUGUUCGAGCGUCAUUACAACCCUCAGGCCCCCGGGCCUGGCGUUGGGGAUCGGCGGAGCCCCCCGUGGGCACACGCCGUCCCCCAAAUACAGUGGCGGUCCCGCCGCAGCUUCCAUCGCGUAGUAGCUAACACCUCGCGACUGGAGAGCGGCGCGGCCACGCCGUAAAACACCCAACUCUUCUGAAGUUGACCUCGAAUCAGGUAGGAAUACCCGCUGAACUUAAGCAUAUCAAUA